UGAAGCGGGAAGAGCUCAAGCUUAAAAUCUCCGUGCAAGUUUUGUGCGGCGAAUUGUAGUCUAUAGAGGCGUGGUCAGCGUGGGCGCUUGGGGCAAGUUCCUUGGAAGAGGACAGCAUGGAGGGUGAUACUCCCGUUCAUCCCUGAGUGGCUCGUGCGUACGACCCGUUUUCUUUGAGUCGCGUUGUUUGGGAAUGCAGCGCAAAGUAGGUGGUAAAUUCCAUCUAAAGCUAAAUAUUGGUGCGAGACCGAUAGCGAACAAGUACCGUGAGGGAAAGAUGAAAAGAACUUUGAAAAGAGAGUUAAAGAGUACCUGAAACUGCUGAAAGGGAACCGAAUCGUUUCCAGUGUCUAUAAUCUGUGGCAUAUUUCAUUGGCGAGCGUUUGCGUGCGUGUGCUGUGGCAGUGGCUUUUUUGGCUGCGCCUGGUGUGUGUGGUGUGAGUGUUUGCUGGUGCCCUGUGCUGCGGUGGGACGUCAAGGUCAGUUCGUAUGCUGCGGGAAAUGGCUGCCGAGGAGGUAGGGCUUACGCUCCGCGUUUGUCUGUUAUAUCUUGGUGGACGAGUCGUCGCGGUUGGGACUGAGGUGCCUACAACGUGCUUUUGAGUGGGUUUGUGUCUCCGUGUGCGCCGUGUGCGGAUAGCUUGCUAUGCGUGUGUGGUUGUGUGUGGAUUGAUGCGGGCCUUAACUUGUCGCCGUUCGGGACG
rnacentral:rRNA from 1 species